AGGGAUUUAAGUUAAUGAAACUAAGAACCUUCAAAGUUUUAAAUAAAAAUGAGAAUUUUUUAAUCCCUG
rnacentral:tRNA from 1 species